rnacentral:lncRNA from 1 species
GGGGAAGGAUGCUUGCAGUCAGCUAUCUCUGAACUCUGGAAAAGCAGCUCACACAAAUGCAUCAGCAGAAUUAGAAAUAAGGAUCCUCUACCAGCUCUGCCAGCUCUCCAGACUGUCGGUCUGUCUCGUUUCCAACUGCAGUUUCACAUGGAGAGAAAUGAAAAACCAUCCGUUAACUUCAGGCAAAUCACCAAACUUCCAUGAAAGAAACAAUGAAAAAUAGGAUCUAAACAGAAGCCAGGACUUAGAAUUGUAUUUUGGAUGAGGCCUUAUGGAAACUUGUCUUCAUGGAAAUGGCAGCAUAGAAAAUAAACCUUUCAAAUUCCUCACCUUUCUGACUGCAUGGCAGCUACUGAGGAAGCAGUAAAGGUAUAUAAUUUUC